AAAACGCAUGUUUGAUUUACUUGCAAUUGAGAAUACAUGUAUACUGAUUUUUAACGUAUUUGUGUAGAAUAAAGAACAAGCAUUAAGCAUUAGAUUGGCUUGUGGAUACUUAGAGACGAUUUUGUGUUUGAACUUGUUUUAUUUUGCUGUGCUACCAUAUAAUUUUAGUGAUUUUAAAUUCAGGUGCGGAUAAUAACUACAGAUUAUAGGUUUAUCUAUUACAAGGGAGGAAACUAUACGCUCUAGUCAAAAUAUAGAACUUUUUGUUAUAAACUUUUUUUCGUAUACCUGCAGAAAAUAUUGGGGCGAAUAUCAGAAACGAGAACAGUUUGACAACAUGGGUUCAGAAUGGUUUAAGAAUAUGUGUGGUGUACAACUGACAGACAAACAAAUGGAAAACAUUCCACACACGAGAACAGAACUUGGAAUUCAUGUAUCAACAAAAUUUGCACAGAUGUUUGGAAUUAUGGGAACUUGUAUCGUAGGACCUAUUGCAGGGGCAGUCAGUAAAGAUACUAGAAACUGGCCCGAUAUAAAAAAUAAAAUGACAACUAUGGGUACUGGUGGAGUUGCCUUAGGAUUUGUCGUGGGGCCCCUUCUCACUUAUUCCUUAAUGAAGAAAGAAGAAGACUAUCGAGUAUGGGAUCGGUGCUAUCGAAUACGUCAUAGCAGAAAUCAAGUUCAUGUAGAUCAAUUAUCUCUUUUAGGAACCGCCUGUGGAGCAGGAGUAGCUGCAUAUACCGGAAAUGGUGCAGCAUUUGGCGGACUUAUUGGUAUGACUAGCGGAGUCAUAUUAGCCGCUCUCUUCAACAGUGCAACGAAAAAGUCGAACAAAAAUUAACAAGUUGUCAAUAAGUCAAUAGUGUGCCAUUGAAUGUAUUUGUUAUAGAAAGUAAAUGAAUGCUUUUUUA